GACGAACGCUGGCGGCGUGCUUAACACAUGCAAGUCGAACGGAAAGGCCCUGCUUUUGUGGGGUGCUCGAGUGGCGAACGGGUGAGUAACACGUGAGUAACCUGCCCUUGACUUUGGGAUAACUUCAGGAAACUGGGGCUAAUACCGGAUAGGAGCUCCUGCUGCAUGGUGGGGGUUGGAAAGUUUCGGCGGUUGGGGAUGGACUCGCGGCUUAUCAGCUUGUUGGUGGGGUAGUGGCUUACCAAGGCUUUGACGGGUAGCCGGCCUGAGAGGGUGACCGGCAACAUUGGGACUGAGAUACGGCCCAGACUCCUACGGGAGGCAGCAGUGGGGAAUAUUGCACAAUGGGCGGAAGCCUGAUGCAGCAACGCCGCGUGCGGGAUGAAGGCCUUCGGGUUGUAAACCGCUUUCGCCUGUGACGAAGCGUGAGUGACGGUAAUGGGUAAAGAAGCACCGGCUAACUACGUG
rnacentral:rRNA from 1 species